rnacentral:rRNA from 1 species
AGUGAACGCUGGCGGUAGGCCUAACACAUGCAAGUCGAACGGCAGCACAGUAAGAGCUUGCUCUUACGGGUGGCGAGUGGCGGACGGGUGAGGAAUACAUCGGAAUCUACUUUUUCGUGGGGGAUAACGUAGGGAAACUUACGCUAAUACCGCAUACGACCUACGGGUGAAAGUAGGGGAUCUUCGGACCUUGCGCGAUUGAAUGAGCCGAUGUCGGAUUAGCUAGUUGGCGGCGUAAAGGCCCACCAAGGCGACGAUCCGUAGCUGGUCUGAGAGGAUGAUCAGCCACACUGGAACUGAGACACGGUCCAGUCUCCUACGGGAGGCAGCAGUGGGGAAUAUUGGACAAUGGGCGCAAGCCUGAUCCAGCCAUACCGCGUGGGUGAAGAAGGCCUUCGGGUUGUAAAGCCCUUUUGUUGGGAAAGAAAAGCAGCAGGUUAAUACCCCGCUGUUCUGACGGUACCCAAAGAAUAAGCACCGGCUAACUUCGUG